GAUGAACGCUGGCGAGAUGCCUUAUACAUGCAAGUCGUACGAGAGUUUUUAACUCAAGUGGCGGACGGGUGAGUAACACGUAAGAAUUUGCCUUUAGGAGGGGGACAACAACUGGAAACGGUUGCUAAUACCCCAUAUGCUUUCGAGUGAAAUGGAUUUUUCCGCCUAGAGAGAAGCUUGCGGCUGAUUAGCUUGUUGGUGAGGUAAUGGCUCACCAAGGCGACGAUCAGUAUCUGGUUUGAGAGGAUGAUCAGACACACUGGAACUGAGACACGGUCCAGACUCCUACGGGAGGCAGCAGUAGGGAAUUUUCCGCAAUGGGCGAAAGCCUGACGGAGCAAUCUCGCGUGAGGGAUGACGGCCUAUGGGUUGUAAACCUCUUUUUUCAGGGAGGAAUUAAUGACGUGUACCUGAAGAAUAAACAUCGGCUAACUCCGUGCCAGCAGCCGCGGUAAGACGGAGGAUGCAAGUGUUAUCCGGAAUCACUGGGCGUAAAGCGUCUGUAGGUGGUUUAAUAAGUCAACUGUUAAAUCUUGAAGCUUAACUUCAAAAUCGCAGUCGAAACUAUUAGACUAGAGUAUAGUAGGGGUAAAGGGAAUUUCCAGUGGAGCGGUGAAAUGCGUAGAGAUUGGAAAGAACACCGAUGGCGAAGGCACUUUACUGGGCCAUUACUAACACUCAGAGACGAAAGCUAGAGUAGCAAAUGGGAUUAGAUACCCCAGUAGUCCUAGCCGUAAACAAUGGAUACUAGAUGUUGAACAGAUCGACCUGUGCAGUAUUAAAGCUAACGCGUUAAGUAUCCCGCCUGGGGAGUAUGCUCGCAAGAGUG
rnacentral:rRNA from 1 species